AGAGUUUGAUCAUGGCUCAGAGCGAACGCUGGCGGCAGGCCUAACACAUGCAAGUCGAGCGCCGUAGCAAUACGGAGCGGCAGACGGGAGAGUAACACGUGGGAACGUGCCCUUCAGUUCGGAACAACCCAGGGAAACUUGGGCUAAUACCGGAUACGUCCGAAAGGAGAAAGAUUUAUCGCUGAAGGAUCGGCCCGCGUCUGAUUAGCUAGUUGGUGAGGUAACGGCUCACCAAGGCGACGAUCAGUAGCUGGUCUGAGAGGAUGAUCAGCCUCACUGGGACUGAGACACGGCCCAGACUCCUACGGAAGGCAGCAGUGGGGAAUAUUGGACAAUGGGCGCAAGCCUGAUCCAGCCAUGCCGCGUGGAUGAUGAAGGCCCUAGGGUUGUAAAGUCCUUUCGGCGGGGAAGAUAAUGACGGUACCCGCAGAAGAAGCCCCGGCUAACUUCGUGCCAGCAGCCGCGGUAAUACGAAGGGGGCUAGCGUUGCUCGGAAUCACUGGGCGUAAAGCGCACGUAGGCGGCUUUUUAAGUCAGGGGUGAAAUCCUGGAGCUCAACUCCAGAACUGCCUUUGAUACUGAGAAGCUUGAGUCCGGGAGAGGUGAGUGGAACUGCGAGUGUAGAGGUGAAAUUCGUAGAUAUUCGCAAGAACACCAGUGGCGAAGGCGGCUCACUGGCCCGGUACUGACGCUGAGGUGCGAAAGCGUGGGGAGCAAACAGGAUUAGAUACCCCCGUAGUCC
rnacentral:rRNA from 1 species